AUAGCACCCACCCCCACAAUUCCGUGCGAGCAUCUCCGUAUCGAUCUAUCUCUAUGGCUGUCUCCGUCUCCGGGUCGCCGGUCGUGCUAUGUUCUCAUAUUGUAUUCAGAUUUCGAGGAUUAGGCAAUGAUUUGCGGCGGCGAGACGAACACCACUGCAUCACCGACCAUUGGCGAGCGAGUAGGUUCAGCGGGACUGCUGGAGGUCCGGCAAUCCAAUUCGGAAUUGGACAUCUUUCAAUUUCUCUCUCACCCCAUCCAAUUUUCGUAGUCUUUUUUUUCGAGAUCUAUAUACAGUAUAUUUUUUGCAGUCUUUGUUUGGCUUGAUCUGUUACUCAUUAUCCUAGGUCAUGUGCUUGGUGGAUCUGUGAUUCUCCGCCUGAUGUUCCUGCCUGCCUUCAUUUAUGGACGCUCGCAGCUCCCUCCCGGGUACCCUGCAACAGUGCCAAAUUCCCUGCCCUCGCCCAACUUCGCCUCUCUUAAUCAGGUUCUGUUGUUGGCGUUAUGCGAUAUGCAUGUUGUGUCUGAACAUCAAGUUGGGUUUAUGGUUUGAUUAAUUUGAUGGUGGUAUGGUUGAUUACCUAGUUAUCGUUUUGUUUAUCUGGUAAAUAUUGGACAUCCCCUGCUUAUGAGGUGCCAGACAAUCCUUCGAUUUGAUAUGUGCAGAAACACAGAUCCGUUCUUACCUAUAUAUGCACUUGAAGAACUAUCUUACCGGACAAGUUUCAGUCUGUUGGCUACGCAUGUGGAGAACAAAAUAAUUUCUCAGCUCAAAUUCAUCUUGCAUUUGAUGAUUUGUGUAUGAAUGUCAACGCUUCAGAGCAGAGUCAAAUCUUCAGUCUUUGUGCACUGCAACUACGAGAAGUAUAAAGCCACGGUUGUAUAGAAGAAAGGUUCAUAAAGUAAUCAGAGCAUGUGGUGCAGCCUGGUGACGUCCUUUUUUCCUGAGGACUGAGAUUCCCAAUACAAGUGGAGGUGAUGCAAGGCUGAGAAUAGUGCUACUACAGAUAGUUAGAAAUUAGUGUUCAGAAUUUGAUUUCCAAUGAAAUUAGUAUUCAUUGGAUCGUCUUCUUUGUAAAGCUACAAAGUUAAUUUAAUAUAUGAGGUCUUUCCGUUUAUAA